rnacentral:rRNA from 1 species
CCUACGGGCGGCAGCAGUGGGGAAUAUUGCGCAAUGGACGAAAGUCUGACGCAGCGACGCCGCGUGAGGGAUGAAGGUUUUCGGAUCGUAAACCUCUGUCAGGAGGGAAGAAAGCGCAUGGCGCCAAUCAGCCAUGCGUUGACGGUAACUCCAAAGGAAGCUCCGGCUAACUCCGUGCCAGCCGCCGCGGUAAUACGGAGGGCGCGGGCUUUAAGGGGAAGUACUGGGCUGAAAGAGCGCUUAGGCUGGUGUGAAAGUUGGGGGUGAAAUCCCCCGGCUCAACCGUGGCACAGCCCUUGAUACUGCGCGACUGGAAUCCGGGAGAGGGUGGCGGAAUUCCAGGUGUAGGAGUGAAAUCCGUAGAUAUCUGGAGGAACAUCAGUGGCGAAGGCGGCCACCUGGACCGGUAUUGACGCUGAGGCGCGAAAGCGUGGGGAGCAAACAGGAUUAGAUACCCGGGUAGUC